GGACUACUGCAGGGGACUCAGGGCUCGCCUGAACGGCUUGUCUCUGCUUGGGCAGCAGUGGCUGAGGCAGCCUGAAGGUUAGACAGGUGUGACUCAGUGGCUAGCGACUGGAAUCAUCUCAAGGCUUCCCUCCCUCAGACAUCUGCUGGCGGUGCUGGCGUUGGCCAUGACCUCAGUGAAAGCUGAUGGCCAAACACCUACGACGUGGCUUCUCCAUGUAUCCACUCGGCUCCCCACAGUGUGGCCUACAGUGAUGAGGGAGGAGCACAGGCCCCUCCCUCAGUGGGAGGAGUGUCGGCCUCCAUCUUGGAGACCCGAGAGCUGCUGUUGGCCAACUGGAAAAUGACCAUCUGCACAGAGAGGAACAGGGGAGGGACAGUGUCAUGGGCUUGUUGCUGGAGAA